GAACUCCUCCAAGGAGAACGACCCGCCAAAGAACAACAAGAAGAAGAACAAGAAGAAGGGAGCGGUGAAGCAGGAGGAAGCUGCAGCUGAGGUGUCUCGACUCCAGGGAAGAAGAAGAAGAUAACUGGAAAAGAAGAGACGACAGAAACCGCCAUCACUGUGAGCUCAGACGUCUAUGCAAAGAAAACCAAGAAGAACAGAUUAAAGGAGGCGGUGGUGGAGACAGAAGCUGCUGCAGACACACAAACUCCUGGGAAAAAGAAAUCCAAGAAGGCGAUGGCUUCUGCUUAAAUGUGGACGUCAGUGGAUAAAGUUUGUACCUGGACCUGAAGAUCCCUGACCAGCGGGACAGUCUGCUCAACGUUUUGUGCCUUUUUUAACUCCUGAACUUAUGUUCGAGUCAACAUCAGUGUUUUCAGUCAUUUCUACCUGUGUUUUUGUUUUCGCUCUAAAAACUGUGACGGCAAUAAUUCUACCACACGCCUCGUGAUUUAAGUCCCGUGUCCACCUGGUGUUUUUUUUUUUUUGAGCGCCAGCAUCUUUUGUCAAUAAGAUCGUGCCCUGUACCCACAUCUUCUCGCUCCGUGUCCUGAUAAAGUAGGAGGGCAAGCAUCCUCCACUUGAUGCUCAUAGUGAAGGGGAAAACAAAAAACGAUCUUAAAUAUAAAACAGUAAAACUCAGCAUACAGAAAAGACGUACGUGCAGCGCUUUUACUCUGAGAUCAAGCGCUUCAUCCAAGGGCUCCAGAGUGCGCAGGUGGACACACGGCGCUACAUGUUUUGAUUACUGUCAUCUGAUUGGACGUUUAUUUUCACAGUGUGAUGUCAGUGGCAGAGAGGAAAACGUUUGGAGAAUUAUUAGAUCACAAUGAUUUGAUAUGUAGUUUAGUUUUACUUUUCUUACUAACUAAUUCAUCGUUCCACUUCCUGUUCCAUAUUUUACUAAAGACUGCACACAUUUGUUAAACAGAGGCCGACCUGUCUUCAACACUUUUAGUAUAAAAGUAGUGAAAAAAAAAACAUCACUACUCUCAGCCAAAGUUAAAGUUCCUAAUGUUUAAAACCCAAAAGUAUUCAGUUUAAAAUGAAAUAAAAGUGUAUGUAUUAAAUGACUGGUGUUUAAUGAACCUGGAAGUUGAAGUUUUGAUUCAUUUAUUCAUUAAAGAAAUCGCCAUAGCAACUCAUUUUCCAUCCUCAGUUGACUUUCAUUUUCAGUUUCUAAAGAGAGAGUUUGUACCCGACUGAAUUCUGACACUUUGAGGCGAGAACAUCAAAUCAGAAAGCAUCGAGCGUUGAUAUGAAACCUCGUUAAUGAUGCGUCUCUCAUCCAACCUGCUUCCUGUCGAGAGCAGACACACGGUCACACUCAGGCUCACAUGUGACUUUGAGAAUAGUAACGUAUAACCCUCACUGUUGGAAUACAUAUUAGGACCUCCUCUUUUCAACAAAGUCAGUAAAAGAUGUUCUUCUACAUCAGACACGUUUUAUUCUGCUGGUGCACAGUGUUCACACAUCCAUGAUCUCAAGCUGUGAAACUGAAGCUUUUCAAACCGCUCAUGUUAAAAGUUAAUCUGAGUUCAACUUUGUUUUCAUGAUUUUGAGUUGAAGAAGUUAGUUCAGUUUGAUCGUAGAGGUUCUAAGUGUUGUUUUGUUCUUGUUACUUUCCUGUCAGUCAAAGCUGUGAAAUCCAGUCUGUGUUUGGAGACUUCUUUAGUUUCCAGAGGUCUGCUGUUUACACUGUUUGUCUUUAUACUCCCAUGAGCUGUUAACUAUGCAUCGUAUUCAACUGCUUUGAUAUUCUUUUGUUGUUCCCGAGGACCAGCGUGUGUGGGAGGGAAUAAAAACUCUUAAAAACUUUGA